UGGGGAAUUGUUCACAAUGGGCGCAAGCCUGAUGACGCAACGCCGCGUGGAGGAUGAAGGUCUUCGGAUUGUAAACUCCUGUUGCCCGGGACGAAAAGCUCCGACCUAAUACGUCGGAGUCUGACGGUACCGGGUGAGGAAGCCCCGGCUAACUCUGUGCCAGCAGCCGCGGUAAUACAGAGGGGGCAAGCGUUGUUCGGAUUUACUGGGCGUAAAGCGCGUGUAGGCGGGUCGUUAAGUUGGGGGUGAAAUCCCGAGGCUCAACCUCGGAACUGCCUUCAAAACUGGCGACCUGGACUCAAGCAGAGGCAAGUGGAAUUGCGAGUGUAGAGGUGAAAUUCGUAGAUAUUCGCAGGAACACCAGUGGCGAAGGCGACUUGCUGGGCUUGUGGUGACGCUGAGACGCGAAAGCGUGGGGAGCAAA
rnacentral:rRNA from 1 species